CGUAAAUAAUAUGAAGUUAUAUUAACAGAUUUUGGUUAACAUCUGUUAGGGACAAAGCUGGAAGAAAAAUUUGAUGUUGCAUGCUGGGCUUUGCUUCAGCCCGUGGGACUUUUGUUUUUUUUUUGGCCUAUUGUAUGUUACUUGUGUCAUUUUCAUUAAAUGUCAAGCCAUUUUCAUUAAAUAAAAGUUGUUAAUGGUUUUUUAUUAAGAAAAAGUUGCCCCAAGCCCUUUUCAUUAAAACUCCCAAGAAAUUAUUCAUAACAGAAAAUAAAUAACUAAGAAAGAAGACACCCGUUUCUUUUCUCCCGUCGCAAGUCUAUGUGAAAUUUUUGGUGUGCACUGCCUUCUCCUGCUCCUGACUUCCUCUUUCCUCUGCGCCUGGUUCUCUGUCCGUGUCUCUCUCCUCUGCUUCUGCGCCUCCUGCGCACUGUCCUUUGUUCUCUGCACCUGGCGCACCCCUUCUCCGUCUCUCCCUCUUUCUUUUAUUCUUCUCUCAGUCAGUCCCCCCACUUCUUUCUUUUAUUUUAUUUUUUUCUCUGUUCUUGCCUUGAGUCAGCUCGUGUCUGCCUUGCCUUUUUGCUGCGUCCAUCCACGUGUCCUGCACUCCUCUUUGUGCACUCAGUCUGUCCUCCACUCUCUUUUUAUUCUUCUAUUUUUCUUUGCUUUUAUCCCGCACUCCUCACUCCCUCUCCAGCUUUUUGUUCCACUUCCUUUUCUUAUAUUUUUUUUUCUCUUCUUUUUCUUCCUGCCAGUGCUGCACUCCCCUUUGCUUAUUUUAUUUCUUUUGUUUUCUUUUUUUUUUAUUUCUUUGAUCCUAAAACAAAAUUAACUGUACAUUAACACAAGGUAAGGUAAAAUGCCACAAUUUUAACACAAAAACAUCACAAAGACUUUAGAAAUGGAUGGUAUAAAUGCAUGAAAUAUAUGAGUGAUCA
rnacentral:lncRNA from 1 species